ACGAAAUGUGACAUCCUGUUUGCGAUAAACUCAGAUUUAUUUUAUAUUAUUUAUAUGUUAGGAAAACGGGGUGUUACAUUUUG
rnacentral:pre_miRNA from 1 species